rnacentral:tRNA from 1 species
CGAGAGGGAUAAACGAAAAUCUAAAGAGCUGCUAAUUCUUUAAGACCCAGGGUUAAAAUCCCCGGCCCCCUCG